UGGGCAAUCUGCCCUUCACUCUGGGACAAGCCCUGGAAACGGGGUCUAAUACCGGAUAUGACCUCUCAUCGCAUGGUGAGGGGUGGAAAGUUUUUUCGGCUAGAGAUGGGCCCGCGGCCUAUCAGCUUGUUGGUGGGGUAAUGGCCCACCAAGGCGACGACGGGUAGCCGGCCUGAGAGGGUGACCCGGCCACACGUGGGACUGAGACACGGCCCAGACCUCCGUACGGGAGGCAG
rnacentral:rRNA from 1 species